rnacentral:tRNA from 1 species
GACCUUGUGGAGCAACGGUAGUGCGCUGACUCCAGAUCAGAAGGUUGUGUGUUCAAGUCACAUCAAGGUCA